rnacentral:lncRNA from 12 species
CUGCUUCACGCUGAGAUGCCAGGCAGUGAACUGAGAUGCCCGAGGCAUGUUUGCUUGUUUUAUCCACCAGUUUGGAUAAGGCCAGUGACUCUGACAGAGUCAAACACUCAGCGUGGUAAAUGUCUCAAACAAACACAUCUCUUUACCAAAAGUGAGUCUGUCUUCUAUUUGGUUUGGCUAACAUGAGCUAGCAAACCUGAUUUAACCUCCGCCUUUUAUUUGGGGUAGGCACAGCAACUUGCAGCUGCUUCUGGAGAGGCAUUUUCUCUAAAUGUCUGAGUGAGGCUAUCACCGGUGAAAGGCAGUGUCAUAUGGCUGUCCAUGGCAAGACCUGGCUGGCACUAUGACACCUUGCCAGGAGAAGCUGGUUUUGUCACAGUGGAACGUGCAGUGGAAUGUGCCACAACAGCCCAAACAGAUCCCCAAGCCACCAGCUGAUGGUUUCUAACCCAGCAAGCGCCAUGGCUUUUGCCAGCCCCACACCUCAGUGGGAGCAGGUGGUACCCAUGGCUGUAGCCAGUGUGCUGCAGUGCAGCAAGGUCAUUGCUUCUCCAGACAGAGAAACAGCAUUGUCAAGAAAAUGUGAUUUAUGAUCAGGAAGAAUCCACCUCUCAAGGCAAGCAAGCGUUGCAGGACAGAGCUCCAGCAAGCUCAGCCAAGACAGCACCCAGGGCUGUGGUGCUCCAUCCAGCUCUCAUGCUGCAGGAAAAAGGAGGGUGAAACUGUGUGAGACUUGGCAAGUCUUCAUGAAGCCGCUGAGGAACUGUACUCAGGAUGAGAGAAAUGCAGCCCCUAGAUCUACUCUACAAAUCCCAAACAACCUCUGGACAAAUUUUAGCUAAAAACUGUCUCUUUCAUGCCUGCAAUAACUGCACUUGACAGCCAAACAGAGACCCUUUCAUAUUUAAAAAUAGAAAAAGCAAUUAAUUAUUGGAGUCUAUAUAAGCCAGGAGCUGGCAAAGUAGCAGAGCAAUGUCUGCAGUGAACUGACUGUAGCAGAGGCCAUGUGGCUUUAGAGCUCAUGGGCCCAUCAGCCCAGGGGGACACGCCAGCAUUCCGAAUGCAAAGCUGCUCAAACUCAGGCACAAAACAGAGUCAUGCCCUAAAGCAGCAGGGUUGGUAGGCAGCAAAAACAGAAGGCAGCCUCUGAACACCCUAAAGAACUUAACGGAGUCAGUGCUGCUUUGUCAAACCCAGCCUGGCUCAGAUUUGGGCAACUGGAGCUGAAAUGCGUGCCUGUCUGGUUUACUGUUCUCCAGUGGCUGUGUGCAGCGAGUGCCAGUGUGUCAGAGGCAAGCCUUGGAGGUUAGUGGGCAAGCCCUGAGAGCCAGAGCCACUGAUUUCUCUUUCUCAUAGCUGGAUAGUCUGGUUCAGUGAGGAAUAAAGCACUGUGCACCAAAGCCAGGCUCAAUUUUUUUUUGUCUCAGUGUUUACCUGGAAUAGACCAUGAUGUGAG